rnacentral:rRNA from 1 species
UACGUAGGUGGCAAGCGUUGUCCGGAUUUACUGGGUGUAAAGGGCGUGUAGGCGGGUACCUAAGUCAGUGGUGAAAUACCGAGGCUCAACCUCGGGGCUGCCAUUGAAACUGGGUAUCUUGAGUGCAGGAGAGGAAAGCGGAAUUCCUAGUGUAGCGGUGAAAUGCGUAGAUAUUAGGAGGAACACCGGUGGCGAAGGCGGCUUUCUGGACUGUAACUGACGCUGAGGCGCGAAAGCGUGGGUAGCAAACAGGAUUAGAUACCCGGGUAGUCCCUGAGCGGG